rnacentral:rRNA from 1 species
GCGGCAGCACGGGUACUUGUACCUGGUGGCGAGCGGCGGACGGGUGAGUAAUGCCUAGGAAUCUGCCUGGUAGUGGGGGAUAACGCUCGGAAACGGACGCUAAUACCGCNNNCGUCCUACGGGAGAAAGCAGGGGACCUUCGGGCCUUGCGCUAUCAGAUGAGCCUAGGUCGGAUUAGCUAGUUGGUGAGGUAAUGGCUCACCAAGGCGACGAUCCGUAACUGGUCUGAGAGGAUGAUCAGUCACACUGGAACUGAGACACGGUCCAGACUCCUACGGGAGGCAGCAGUGGGGAAUAUUGGACAAUGGGCGAAAGCCUGAUCCAGCCAUGCCGCGUGUGUGAAGAAGGUCUUCGGAUUGUAAAGCACUUUAAGUUGGGAGGAAGGGCAGUAAAUUAAUACUUUGCUGUUUUGACGUUACCGACAGAAUAAGCACCGGCUAAC